rnacentral:rRNA from 1 species
CAGUAGCCGCGGGAAUACGUAGGGUGCAAGCGUUAAUCGGAAUUACUGGGCGUAAAGCGUGCGCAGGCGGUUCGUUAAGACAGAUGUGAAAUCCCCGGGCUUAACCUGGGAACUGCAUUUGUGACUGGCGGGCUAGAGUAUGGCAGAGGGGGGUAGAAUUCCACGUGUAGCAGUGAAAUGCGUAGAGAUGUGGAGGAAUACCGAUGGCGAAGGCAGCCCCCUGGGCCAAUACUGACGCUCAUGCACGAAAGCGUGGGGAGCAAACAGGAUUAGAUACCCCUGUAGUCCCUGUCUCUUAUAC